rnacentral:lncRNA from 1 species
GCUCCUACUCCCUCUUGGUUUACCCCAAAAAGGUACAUCUUUAACUCGCUGUUUUGAUUCCUAAAUUGGCCUUUUUGGUCUGUGUUUCUUGGUCUUUUGGGAUUUGAAACAAUAAUUGGAUCUUUUCUUUUCUUUUUGGGUGUUCAUGCUUUGAAUGAGUAAUGCACAUAUGGGUUUAAGAAUUUAAGAGGUUUUUUAUUUUAUUUUAUUUUAUUUUUGGUGGGGGGGGGGGGGGGGUUUUUGGGAUUUAAAAAUUUUUCCCCUAUUUUAAAUAUAAAUAUAGAAGUUGCUAAUGUGGGAGCCCAUACUCUAGUUAGGGCUUCUUACUCUUAUGCUCAUCUCCAAAUUUGAGAUUAUAUCCCAGAAUGUUUGCUAGCUUUCUAUGAUUCAAGUUAAUGCAAAGUGAUUUUUUCCUUUAGAAAAAAAAAUUUUUUAAAUUGCCAUCAAAAAAUUUUAUCAUUAAUUUCUUAUUUUGACACUAAUUUCUUAUUUUGUCGCUAAUUUAGUAUUACUAGCAAAAUAGCAAUAAAAAAUUUUUAUUGAUAAACCCUUUCCGCUAAAAAAGUAGCAAAAAAAAUUUUUUUAUCCGUAAAUU